rnacentral:rRNA from 1 species
AUGCAUGUCUAAGUACAAACUGCUUUAUAAUACAGUGAAACCGCGAACGGCUCAUUAAAUCAGAUACUAAACUUAUUGGACGUAACGGUGUUCGUCACCUUUCGGAUAACUGUUGGGAAUUCUAGAGCUAAUACGUGCAAAACAUAAGUCUCGACUGUUGUGGGAGAGACGCAUUUAUUAGUUGUAAACCAGCCAAACGCCCUUAAAAGGUGUUUGAGCAUUGGUGACUCUGGAUAACUUUGCUGAUCGCAGCGGCCUCGUGCCGGCGAUGUAUCCUUCAGAUAUCUGCCCUAUCAACUUUCGACGGUAUGCGAUAUGCUUACCGUGGUUGUAACAGGUAACGGAGAAUCAGGGUUCGAUUCCGGAGAGGGAGCCUUAGAAACGGCUGCUACUUCUACGGAAGGCAGCAGGCGCGCAAAUUACCCAAUCUCGGCACGAGGAGGUAGUGACGAGAAAUAACGACGUCUGGCUGUUACAGCCUUGACGAUCGGAAUGAGUACAUUGUAAAAACGUUAACGACUACCAAUUGGAGGGCAAGUCUGGUGCCAGCAGCCGCGGUAAUUCCAGCUCCAAUAGCGUACACUAAAGUUGUUGCGGUUAAAAAGCUCGUAGUUGGAUCUCGAGUGUGGCAGCGCGGUCCGGAUUGUGCUUCUGUCACGCCGGAACUCGUGUCUUCUGCUGCACGCUUUAUCUAAAGAUGAGUCGACUGCGCGUGCGCUGCCCUUAACAAGGUGGUGUGGGUGCUCGACGCCUUUACUUUGAAAAAAUUGGAGUGCUCAAAGUAGGCAAUGCGUUGCCUGAACAUUGUCCCAUGGAAUAAUGGAACAGGACUUUGUGUCCGUUUCGUUGGUUUUGGAUGCGAAGUAAUGAUUAAGAGGGACAGACGGGGGCAUUGGUAUUGCGGGGGGAGAGGUGAAAUUCUUGGAUCCUCGCAAGACGACCGAGUGCGAAAGCAUUUGCCAAGAAUGUUUUCAUUAAUCAAGAACGAAAGUCAGAGGUUCGAAGGCGAUCAGAUACCGCCCUAGUUCUGACCAUAAACGAUGCCAACUGGCGAUCUGCCGUGCAAUCAUUCUUGUAACGUGUUGCGGCAGGCAGCCUCCGGGAAACCUCAAGUUUUUGGGUUCCGGGGAGAGUAUGGUUGCUGAACUGAAAUUUAAAGGAAUUGACGGAAGGGCACCACCAGGCGUGGAGCUUGCGGCUUAAUUUGACUCAACACGCGAAAGCUUACCCGGUCCGGACACCGUGAUGAUUGACAGACCGAUAGCUCUUUCUCGAUUCGGUGAAUGGUGGUGCAUGGCCGUUCUUAGUUGGUGGAGCGAUUUGUCUGGUUAAUUCCGAUAACGAACGAGACUCCCGCCUGCUAAGUAGAGGGGGUGUUGUUGGCGGAGGGAUUCGCUCUUCUUCGCCGCGCCUCCGCUCUUCUUAGAGGGACAAGCGGAAAUACUUCUUUUAAAACCGCGCCGAGAUGGAGCAAUAACAGGUCUGUGAUGCCCUUAGAUGUCCGGGGCCGCACGCGUGCUACAAUGAGGAAGGCAACGUGUUUGUGAAAUGCUUCCUUGCCUGAGAAGGCGGGGCAAUCCGUUGAAUCUUCCGCCUAACUGGGAUUGAGCUUUGUAAUUAUCGCUCAUCAACGAGGAAUGCCUAGUAAGCACGAGUCAUAAGCUCAUGCUGAUUACGUCCCUGCCCUUUGUACACACCGCCCGUCGCUACUACCGAUUGAAUGUCUUAGUGAGACAAUCGGAUUGCUUUUCCCGAGUGGCGCAAGCUGUGCGGGCGAAGCGAGAAGAUGCUCGAACUUGGUCAUUUA